GGGGGGCCAGAGAGUAGGGGGGGCCAGAGAGUAGGGGGGGCCAGAGAACUAGGGGGCCAGAGAGUAGGGGGCCAGAGAGUAGGGGUGUAUUUGAGAUUAGACGCUCCAGGGUCAUGAAGCACACAGGUGGAGUAGACGAGCCCUGAUGUCCCGUAGAAAAUAACUGACGAUCCACAGCAAAACAGCCAGGCCAGACUAGACGAUCCAGAGAAAAACAGCCAGGCCAGACUAGACGAUCCAGAGCAAAACAGCCAGGCCAGACUAGACGAUCCACAGCAGAACAGCCAGGCGAUCCAGACCUGACUAGACGAUCCACAGCAGAAGAGCCAGGCGAUCCUGACGAUUCAGCCGGAGCAGCCUCGGCAACCACAGUGGGUACACUCUAUAAUCCUCCCCUGGAGAGAGAGAGAAACAGAGAGACAGAGAGAGAGAGAAACAGAGACACAGCGAGAGAGAGAGAGAGAGAGAGAGAGACAGAGACAGAGACAGAGACAGACAGAGAAACAGAGAGAGACAGAGACAGACAGAGAAACAGAGAGAGACAGAGAAACAGAGAGAGAGAGAGACAGAGACAGAGACAGA
rnacentral:lncRNA from 1 species